rnacentral:rRNA from 1 species
AACGAACGCUGGCGGCAGGCCUAACAUAUGCAAGUCGAGCGAGGACUUCGGUUCUAGCGGCGGACGGGUGAGUAACGCGUGGGAAUGUGCCCUUCUCUACGGAAUAGCCCUGGGAAACUGGGAGUAAUACCGUAUACGCCCUUUUGGGGAAAGAUUUAUCGGAGAAGGAUCAGCCCGCGUUGGAUUAGGUAGUUGGUGGGGUAAUGGCCUACCAAGCCGACGAUCCAUAGCUGGUUUGAGAGGAUGAUCAGCCACACUGGGACUGAGACACGGCCCAGACUCCUACGGGAGGCAGCAGUGGGGAAUCUUAGACAAUGGGGGCAACCCUGAUCUAGCCAUGCCGCGUGAGUGAUGAAGGCCUUAGGGUUGUAAAGCUCUUUCAGCUGGGAAGAUAAUGACGGUACCAGCAGAAGAAGCCCCGGCUAACUCCGUG